rnacentral:lncRNA from 13 species
UUUCGUGCAUGCGCUCUGUUUCGUGUACAGUUGUGAGCUAAAAGGUUGCGACAUUUCUUUUUUUGAUGAGUUUCUGAACGCGCAAUCUCUUUAGCAAGAUAAGAACGACUGCAGCUAUGGAGGUUAGCGCAAACGUCAAACAUGGUCAAACGUUCGUAUACAAGGUGUACAACAUAAGAUUAGAUCGGUUUUGAUCUAAUUAAGAUAAAGUUUCUAGGUAAAUGAAUUUAGCGUCAACGAGGUGCGAAAUUUAAUAUUCAUUCAAAUAUAGUUGCUACAGAAGAGAUCAAACUCAAAUAUAUUAGGCUCGUGUACCAAAUGACAGAUUUUGAGCUAAAACUGUAUUCUCUCAUCGCAGUUUCAAUUAACUGGAUCUGCCAGUGUACGAGACGUAUAAUAAACUCCGUACAAAUCUAUUCAAGGCAAUUCAUGAAUGCAGUAAAGGAUUUGGAUUUGUAUAAGCUCGUUGGAACGCAAUCGUCGUAUAUUAUAUAGCAGUUUAUCAUACAUGUGUUGUCCUGCCUGUUCAGAGUAAAUGUUACAAGAAUUUGCUUCUGUGUAAUUACGAGUUCCUGCGUCCAAUCGAUGACAUUCUAGAGACCAAACUUUACAGCCAGUAAUAAUAUUCCGGACGUGCAAUGGCGUAUCGCUUGUGAAAAUUUUAACGUACUUACAAAAAUUGUUAUACGCAGUGUUAUACAUAUGUAAAACUGUCAUGUGAAUGUUACGAAUCAGUGCUCUAAUUAAUUGCUAAUAUGGAUUAUUACACUUAUACGACUUUGUAAAUAUAAAAUUUAUAUUUUCAUGUUAUAUACAUUAAUUUUCAUGUAAUUAAUUGAACAAUAAUUUAUUUGGUAAUAAAUACGCUAAUAAAUACGC